rnacentral:lncRNA from 1 species
UCUAAGACCUUGGCCAGGGCAGUAAUAUAAAGUGGAGAAAGAGUUUUCCACUAUCGAACUCGAGUCGAAUAAAUCUUGACAUAUGACAGACGAUGGGAUUUGACGAGUUGUCCAUGACCUCCGUCCUGUAGGGAUCCACGAUAGUAGGACUGUAUCACACGUUAACUGCACCUAGAGGUUCAUCUUUCUAUUCUACUGGGUAGCCACUACAUGCUGCUAGGUGUCAC